rnacentral:rRNA from 1 species
AUUGAACGCUGGCGGCAUGCUUUACACAUGCAAGUCGAACGGCAGCGGGGAGGUGCUUGCUUCUCUGCCGGCGAGUGGCGAACGGGUGAGUAAUACAUCGCAACGUGUCGAGAAGAGGGGGAUAACCACCCGCUAGGGUGGCUAAUACCGCAUAAAUUCUGAGGAAGAAAGCUGGGGACCUAGUAAUAGGCCUAGCGCUUUUUGAGCGGCCGAUGUCGGAUUAGCUAGUUGGUGUGGUAAAGGCUCACCAAGGCGAAGAUCUGUAGCGGGUCUGAGAGGAUGAUCCGCCACACUGGGACUGAGACACGGCCCAGACUCCUACGGGAGGCAGCAGUGGGGAAUUUUGGACAAUGGGGGCAACCCUGAUCCAGCCAUGCCGCGUGUAUGAAGAAGGCCUUAGGGUUGUAAAGUACUUUUGUUAGGGAAGAAAAGGCAGCUGUGAAUAAUGGCUGAUACUGACGGUACCUAAAGAAUAAGCACCGGCUAACUACGUG